UCCCGGUUGAUCCUGGCAGAGGUUACUGCUAUCGAGAUUCGACUAAGCCAUGCGAGUCGAAUGUUCUUCGUGAACAUGGCGGACUGCUCAGUAACACGUGGACAACCUACCCUUGGGUCUGGCAUAAUCCUGGGAAACUGGGUAUAAUUCCAGAUAGGUCACAGAUGCUGGAAUGCACUGUGGCCGAAAGCUCCGGCGCCCAAGGAUGGGUCUGCGGCCUAUCAGGGUUGUAGUGGGUGUAACGGACCUACUAGCCUACGACGGGUACGGGUUGUGAGAGCAAGAGCCCGGAGAUGGAUUCUGAGACACGAAUCCAGGCCCUACGGGGUGCAGCAGGCGCGAAAACUUUACAAUGCGGGAACCGUGAUAAGGGAAUCUCGAGUGCCAGCAUAUAAUGUUGGCUGUCCAGAUGCCUAAAAGCAUCUGUUACAAGGGCCGGGCAGGACCGGUGCCAGCCGCCGCGGUAACACCGGCGGCCCGAGUGGUAACCGCUUUUAUUGGGUCUAAAGGGUCUGUAGCCGGCCAAGUAAGUCCCUUGGGAAAUCUGGCAGCUUAACUGUCAGGCUGCUAGGGGAUACUGCUAGGCUUGGGACCGGGAGAGGUGAGAGGUACCUUGGGGGUAGGGGUGAAAUCUUGUGAUCCUCGGGGGACCACCAGUGGCGAAGGCGUCUCACCAGAACGGGUCCGACGGUAAGGGACGAAAGCUAGGGGCACGAACCGGAUUAGAUACCCGGGUAGUCCUAGCCGUAAACGAUGCUCGCUAGGUGUCAGUCACGGUGCGACCGUGAUUGGUGCCGUAGGGAAGCCGUGAAGCGAGCCACCUGGGAAGUAUGGCCGCAAGGCUGAAACUUAAAGGAAUUGGCGGGA
rnacentral:rRNA from 1 species